rnacentral:misc_RNA from 1 species
GUGUGUUAUAUGUUUGGUAUGCCAUAUACUUCAGUUUACUCAAAUUCACGUAGUGAACACGAUUUGUAAUGAAGCUGGAGCAGGCAAAUAACCCAUUGGAGAAACAAGUCAAAGAAGGGUCGUAUAAAUUUCCGAACAACCUCUGGAAGAAUGUUAGCAGUGAAGCUAAGGAUCUUAUAACAAAACUGCUUACUGUUGGUCACAGAAAAUGCAUCACGGUUUCAGAAGCUCUGGAACAUCCUUGGAUGAAGGAUAAAGAAAUGAUAGAAAAAGCAGAAAAAAUGAUAAAACCGACCGUGGAUGGAAGAUCAAUGUCUCCGCCCUUAUAAAAGCCUGCAAUAUUUACCUUGCUUGGUAUGUCAGUCCAUCAAA